rnacentral:rRNA from 1 species
GACGAACGCUGGCGGCGUGCUUAACACAUGCAAGUCGAACGGAAAGGCCCUGCUUUUGUGGGGUGCUCGAGUGGCGAACGGGUGAGUAACACGUGAGUAACCUGCCCUUGACUUUGGGAUAACUUCAGGAAACUGGGGCUAAUACCGGAUAGGAGCUCCUGCUGCAUGGUGGGGGUUGGAAAGUUUCGGCGGUUGGGGAUGGACUCGCGGCUUAUCAGCUUGUUGGUGGGGUAGUGGCUUACCAAGGCUUUGACGGGUAGCCGGCCUGAGAGGGUGACCGGCCACAUUGGGACUGAGAUACGGCCCAGACGCCUACGGGGGGCAGCAGUGGGGAAUAUUGCACAAUGGGCGGAAGCCUGAUGCAGCAACGCUGCGUGCGGGAUGACGGCUUUCGGGUUGUAAACCGCUUUCGCCUGUGACGAAGCGUGAGUGACGGUAAUGGGUAAAGAAGCACCGGCUAACUACGUG